UGCUGCUGGCGUUUUGAUACUUGUUCGUACUUGCAGAACCCUCCACGACUCGCGAUAAACGGCAGCGCAGCACUGUGUCGAUUCCACAUAGUCAUAGGCCAGUCGAUUUAUUAAAUGUAGCUCAAAACGCAGUCGAAAUAUAUUAAGCCCAAAUCCAACUGUUUGUUUACCCUGUAAAGCCGAAGAAAAAGUACGCGUUUCUACCUAUUUGCAAGCCCACCAUUGGGCCAUUUCAAACUGGCACAUCAAUUUUGGUUUUCCUAUCCGCCACCUGGCGCUGGCGGCGGCUCCUCAACUCAGCUACAAAUUCUAGCAAGAUCGUAUAUGUAAUACUUGCCACACACAUACACACACUCACACACCAACACACACAUUCACACACACACACACAGAAUACAUAACAUUAACUACAGCUCAACAUGUUAGCAUAGCUGCAAGAGUAUUUGUAUAUUCAGUGUUUCCUCGACUCAAAAGAAAACAAAACCAAGCGCUAAACAAACAACAACUGCAACACACACACACACACAUACACACACGGACACUGCCACUGUGUAUGCAGCUGCUGCCAUUUGUUCGAUAAUUCGUUGUGCCCGGUUGUAACGGUUAACUGCCCCUCCUCCUCUCCUCUCUCUCUCUCUGUCUCUCUCUCUAUCUCUCUCUCUCUUUCCUCAUGGUAUGCGCCACACAUACAUGCUCACGCUGCUAAAAUUCGCCGUUAAACGCCGCCGCCGCCGCUGUUCAAAAUGACAUAAAAAAAACAAAAGAAAA